rnacentral:lncRNA from 1 species
GAACGCAUUUAGAUCAAACUCACUGUGCCUUAUAAGCAGACAGAAAAUCUACAAACUGUCAAAUGUUUAGUUUGUUCUUAGCAUUCUUAGAUGUUGUACAUUUUGCAAAAUCAUUCUGAGAAAGGAUAUUAGCCUAUUAAAAAUAAGAAAACAGAAAAACAAGGCUUUAGCAUCAUACCAAGAGAUGUGUGGCUUCUAGUUAACUGUGGAAGAUGCAAUCAAUAGAAAAGGCAGGAAAGGAAAGAAAGAGCAUCCGCAGCAGAGAUUUCCUGGAAUGAAAAAUGUGCCUGGAUUGUUACUUUAUUGAAUUUUGCUACUGUAGGACAUACUAAAGGACAAAUCAACUCUCAAGCAUCUAUCCGAAAUAUAUGAGAUAUUUCUUGAGCUGUUUUAUCUACUCAUUUAAGGAUUACAUGGGAAAAAAGAAAAACAAAAAAAAACUGGGCCACUAUACCUGGAGACAUGAGCAAGAACUGGAAUUCAGAACUGAUCAGAUAUUGCAUUUGGAAACCGCAGCAUACCUUCUUACUUCAUGUUGGAGAUGUGUCCAAACACGCUCACUUGUUUAUCUAGGAAUAUAAUCUUUAUUAGUUCUUCAAACUCUCUCCAGUGAAUUUAGUUGCUGAUAUCAAAGCAGAGUACAAGUCAAAAACUUAUGUAUAAAACCUGAUAAACAAGUUAAACUAUUUGUAAACUUCUGAUGUACACUUUUGACAUUGUAAUUUGCUAUUUCAGUCACUAUCUUUUUGUCUAGCCUCUCUUCCAAACCAGCCAGCCUGAAUAUUCGGAACUGUCCAAGGACUCAUUUUAUCCUACAAAUGUUUAUGCAAAUGUGUUCUAUUCAAGUUAACGUAUUAUAUAAACUGAGUUUUAUUCUCAAGCUUAGCAUUUCAUUUUAUCAGGCUGUCAUUAAAAAUAGCAAGUUGCAAAUUAGCAGUGCUAGCUGACUCUCUUUAAUCAAUUUCCUUAGCAAUUGUGAGGCUCAGAAUUACCUUCAGAAGCGUUUAAUAAUGCCAGUGUUACAUUUAUAUGGCAUCUCAGGACAAAGGAGUUAAUCAUGACACAGAAUCUAAACCGCAGAUUGACAGAAAUAAAUCAGAUGAGGGAGAAGAAUUCCCA